CUUCCCAUUUAUUUGCUGCUAUAGUCCUUCAGUGAUAUGAGCAGUUAUACGCAUGGGAUAAAACAAUAAAUACUGGGCCCUUGUAAACGGAGGUGAAGUUGCCGUUUCAUCUCUUCUCCACGGUCUAGACAUUG